rnacentral:rRNA from 1 species
CCCAGACUCCUACGGGAGGCAGCAGUGAGGAAUAUUGGUCAAUGGGCGCGAGCCUGAACCAGCCAAGUAGCGUGAAGGAUGACUGCCCUACGGGUUGUAAACUUCUUUUAUAAAGGAAUAAAGUGAGGCACGUGUGCCUUUUUGUAUGUACUUUAUGAAUAAGGAUCGGCUAACUCCGUGCCAGCAGCCGCGGUAAUACGGAGGAUGCGAGCGUUAUCCGGAUUUAUUGGGUUUAAAGGGUGCGUAGGCGGAACAUUAAGUCAGCGGUAAAAUCGAGGGGCUCAACCCCUUUAAGCCGUUGAAACUGGUGAUCUUGAGUGGGCGAGAAGUAUGCGGAAUGCGUGGUGUAGCGGUGAAAUGCAUAGAUAUCACGCAGAACUCCGAUCGCGAAGGCAGCCUACCGGCGCGCAACUGACGCUCAUGCACGAAAGCGUGGGUAUCGAACAGGAUUAGAUACCCCGGUA